UACGGAGGGUGCAAGCGUUAUCCGGAUUCACUGGGUUUAAAGGGUGCGUAGGCGGGCAGGUAAGUCAGUGGUGAAAUCUCAGAGCUUAACUCUGAAACUGCCAUUGAUACUAUCUGUCUUGAAUUCUCUGGAGGUGAGCGGAAUAUGCCAUGUAGCGGUGAAAUGCUUAGAUAUGACAUAGAACACCCAUUGAGAAGGCAGCUCACUACGGAGUCAUUGACGCUGAGGCACGAAAGCGUGAGGAUCAAACAGG
rnacentral:rRNA from 1 species